rnacentral:hammerhead_ribozyme from 1 species
AUCCAGCUGACGAGUACCAAAUGGGACGAAACGCGUGUCCUGGAU